UCUCUCUCUCUCUCUUUCUCUCUGCGUCUGUGGGUGUGGCUCGAUUGCUCUUGUCGGACGGGUGACCCAGGUGGUCGGAGCAGGUUCUUUUCUCGGCCCGUCGUUCGAUCUUGCCAUUUUUCCGUUCGCCGAUUCGUGGGUAGUUGCGGUUGUCGGGAAAGGAACCCGCUUGGAGCUGUGAACGUUUCUUUGCUCGGUUGCCCGCGCUGUCCGUGAUUCAAAUUGCGUUUACUGUUUUCGUCGUCGCGGUCGUCGUUUCUCGAACGGAGAAAAUGGGUGAAAUUUUGUUAUGCGGCCGGGUGACGGGGCCGAAGCGGGGCAACCUGCUCAGCUUGCAGCGAUUGGGGAAUUUGAAUCUUUGCCUGCAUGAACCGGAAUGUGGGCGUCCGCGUUCGUUGAUGGCUAAUUGUAUCGUUCGCAUUUUGUUGAAUUGUGCGGGCUCAGGGCGCUCCCGAAUUGCCUUUGUAAAAGCAGAGCAUGCCGAGGUUUUAGGCUGAAGAGGAUCGGCGUGGAGGGAGCAGUGAUUGCAUAGCUCUGAUGCUUAUAAUUCAUCAGUUAUAGCUGGAAAACUCGGAGUUUCCUUCGGUGGGGCUUGUGUAUUGUCUAGGACAAAUGGUUACUCUCAAUGGUUUUAUUAGUCAAGCGGGGGAAAACCUCUUGUUUGCAUGAGCGAGCUGCAAUUUUUGUAGUUUCUGAGCAAUCUCUGUCUUAUCCAGGUCUGGCCAUCUAAAAUGCUUUCAAAGUCCCAAAUUGCAAAGCUUUUAUCCCGUUCGAUUUCUCGAAGAAAGACUGAUUUCUAUGUUGCUUCAAGUUGCUACUUGUGCAACUCCUUUUGUACUCUCACUAAGCCGCCUGAGAGAAAUGAGUCGCCGGAGAUCCCAAGUUGGGUGAAGUGCCUUGAUGACAAGAGCCAUGGAAGUCCUGAUGCAGAUGAAAAUUUUGUGAUCCCUUCCCUCGCUUCUUGGGUUAACAGUUAUGGGCCAUAUGGUCGUACUGAAGUUGCCAAGGUUACAUCGAGUGACAUAGAAGAAAUUAAUGUUGAGAAAGUCUGCAAACUUUUGAGGAACCGGUAUUCAUCACCAGAUUGUGUUGUUGCAGCUUUGAAUGCUAGUGGCGUUGGUUCUUCAAGCAGGAUGAUUGAGCGGAUUUUGAAAAAAUUUAGCAAUGAUUGGAUCCCAGCUUUUGGUGUUUUCACUUGGGCCAAACUCCAAAUGGGUCACCAUCAUCCAUCUGUGUUAUGUGAUCUAAUGGUUGACAUAUUAGGGAAAUCGAGAAAGUUCCAUUUGAUGUGGAAGUUGGUGGAGGAAAUAAGGACGUUAGAAGGUUAUGUUACACUGGCAACUAUGAGUAAGGUCAUGAGAAGGCUUGCUAGAGCAGGUAAGUAUCAAGAUGCAAUAGAGGUCUUUAAAGAAAUUGAGCAAUUUGGUGUUAAGAGGGAUGUUGCUGCAAUGAAUGUGCUAAUAGAUGCAUUGGUUAAGGAAAAUAGUGUUGAGCAUGCCCUUGAAGUGUUUUUGCAGUUUAAGGCAUGUAUCCCAUGUGAUAUUCAUACUUACAAUAUUUUGAUACAUGGACACUGUAAAUGUAAACAAUUUGAUAAUGCAAGAAAAUUUUUGGAAGAGAUGGAGCAACAAGGAUUCGAACCUAAUGUCAUUUCUUAUACUUGUUUUGUCGAAUGGUACAGUCGUGAACAGGAUUUUCAUAAUGUAAAUGCCAUUUUGGAUGAAAUGAAGAAAAAGGGUUGUUCGCCAAAUACCGUGACCUAUACUAUUUUAAUGCAAGGUUUGGGGAAAGCAAAGCAAAUAAAUGAUGCACUGGGGGUCUAUGAAAAUAUGAAGACCAUCGGUUGUGCUCCAGAUCCCUCCUUUUAUAGCUCAUUGAUUUAUAUCUUGAGUAAAGCUGGUAGAUUUAAGGAUGCGUGGGAUGUAUAUGAAGACAUGGGGAAACAAGGAGUUAAACCAGACUUGUUGACAUAUAACACAGUAAUUGCUGCUGCUUGUGAGCAUUCACAAGAAGAGACUGCUUUGAAGAUUCUUAAGAAAAUGGAAGAAGAUUCUUGUAAGCCAGAUCUCAAGACAUAUGCAUCUCUAAUAAAGAUGUGCUGCAGAAAGAAGAGAAUGAAGGUUCUUCAAUUUUUGUUGAACCACAUGUUUAAAAAUGAUGUCAGCAUCGAAGUCUCAACCUACUCUCUUUUGGUACGUGGGCUUUGCAAAUCUGGGAAACUUGAGGAGGCUUGUUUGUUCUUUGAAGAAAUGGUGGCGAGAGGAAUAGUACCAUGGGAAACCACAUACAAAUUGCUGGUAAAUAAGCUUGAUGGAAUGAGCAUGGGAAAACAAAAGGAGCACAUUCAGAAGCUAAUGUCAGAGGCAAAAGAGUGGGCAGAGAUUUAACUGUGUUUGAGAGGAAAAAGCUAUUCGGAUUUGUACUUUUUGUUAUUCAAAGGAAUUUGCAGUUUUAAUGUCUCUCAAAUGGUUCCUCUAUUCUAUUAUUGGCUACAGAAGUUGACCUGUGCUGUGAAUAGAGUGGGGGAUUAGCUUGACUAUACUAGGUGUCAAAGGGUAGGUGAACUUUUUAUUUGCUAAUAAAGGCAAUGCUUUUGCCUCCACGUCACUCAUGGUCAGUAUUGUCAAAAGCACCAGCCAAAGCACGGUCGCCUUGCCUGCUGUGAGGCGAAUCACCUUCAUGUAGGCACCGCUUAGGCGAGUGCCUGUACCAAGGCGACACUUUGCUCAAGUAGUUUGCAGCUAAGAUUGAGGCUUGUGUUGGCAGCUGACAGCUAAUUGACUCUCAUGGCUUUUUCUGUUUAGAUAAAAUGAAAAGGAAUAUGCCAUGGGGUGACCAGGUGGAUGUGAUAUCAUCUGACGGAUCUACUUCCUCAGAUGUCGAGAUGGAGGCUACUGAUGCAUCUCGUGGCAAGUUCCCUGCAAUUCCCAUUCCAAUAGAACGUAAUUUUCAAGAUGCAACAU